rnacentral:misc_RNA from 1 species
AACCAUAGAAACCUGCGGAGUACCUGCGGAAGGAUCAUUAUCGAGUUGCAAAACUCCAACCCUUUGUGAACAUACCUCAGUCGUUGCUUCGGCGGUGGACGGCCUGUUUUUCGGAACGGCCGGAAGCCGCCGGAGGUUCCAAACUCGUAUUUUUUAGUGUAUCUCUGAGCCUGAAAACAAAUAAUCAAAACUUUCAGCAACGGAUCU